CUUGUCUGUGGGGGAGCAGAGGCUGGAGCACCAGCUGGCAAUCGUGAACUAAAGGCACAGGAAGGGACUAUCCAUGAUGAUGAAGCCACCUGAACGGGCCCUUCAUCAUAUUCCAGCUGGAGAAAAGUCCUGGCCCAACCAUGCAUUUAGCUGACUGCCCCGGAGUGAAGUGAUGAGGCCUGAGUCACCUACCCUGCACGGGCCUCGCUUGCCCCAUCCCUGAUGCUUGAGGGACCAGAUGUGAUCCUGCGGCUGGCAGUGUCCUGAGUUCUUUGCUGGGUAAGAGCUGAGAGCUCUGUGCCCCAUGCUGAGG